rnacentral:siRNA from 1 species
UUUAGCGGUUCUGACGAAUGCAAC